rnacentral:lncRNA from 1 species
UUUACAUUCUUGUGCUGUGAGAAGCAUCAUAAAGAAAAAAGCUGUAGGAGAAGCAGUCAAAUUGUAAUUUCAACUCUGUGCUGUCAGUGAGAGCUGCGAACAUGAAGCAGUUGCCAUUCUCAGUGGAACAAGAACCAAGUAGGAACUGGAGUUUCAGCACUCUCAGGCUCGUCCUGCAUUUGCUUCCUCACACGCCACUGAAAUACCAGGUCUGCCUCCCUUGACUGGUGAUGGUGCACAGUUUACAGAAGAUGGCCCUUGGAGGAGCUGCCUGCCUUUUGCAGUGACCAAACGUUUCUGCUCUUUGAGGAGGAGGCUGAUUCAAGGAACCUGCAGUCACUACAGUGUGCUCAUCAUCUUCCCUCAUGGCAUCUCCCUCCUUGAAUGUCACCUUUGCUGCCCUUGUGAGAUGUUACAUUUCAG